rnacentral:tRNA from 1 species
GAUGAUGUAGCUGGGUGUUAGAGCUCUUGCCUAGCAUGUAUGAGGCCCUGGGUUCAAUCCCCAGCACCACA